CGGUGACCGCCGGCUGGUGCGUUGCCCUCGCCUCCCCCAUUGUUCCUACUGUCUUUUUGCCUUUUGUUAUUUGCACUCGCAUUGUGUUGUUUGUCUCUGAAGCCGCCUCAUGACCAGCAAAGGGAUUUCACCUCGUCCUUGAGAGCAACACGGGGAGCGCGAGCGAGCGGGCGAGCGAGAGACGCGGGGGGGGAGAGAGAGGGACACGCGCGCGCACACACACACACACCGGCACACACGCACACACACAGACAUACACACACAGAGUGAAAAAGGCGAGCCACCAAAACCCAUCUCCAGUCUCCUCCCGGGGGCCCCCAGCCCGCCUCUGUGCCACUUUGCAUCCCACGCCGGAGGAGGCAUUAACGAGACCGGUGUACCAAGUGAAGACCACUCACGUGUUGUGUCACUUGAAGCGCGGGUUUGGGAAAUCUCGCUUGCACUUUGGGGCUACAGCAAUAAGAAGCAAUGAAAAGAGGUUAUACGAGUUGAAAUCAAAUUGGAUUUGGAAAUGUUUGCGUUGAAGAGUCGCAGUUUGUUGAGUAUUGAUCGGAUGCACACGAAACACUGUUUACAUUUUUUUACUAGUCAUUUUCCCUACACUUUGCAAAGCGACUAUAUUAAUAAAUAGAUUGACCCUGGUGAAUUUCUGAAGACGUUGGUUUCUGUGACUAAAUUCAGAAUGUGAUGAAUGUGAAUUCAUUUUAAUGUGUUCCCUUCUCAGCUAAAGCAGGUCAAGCCGAGGAAUCCUGUGAAUAUGCAGAUCCCUACACUAGGUGCCAGGCGGUCCAGGCACUCUGGGUGGCAGUCAGCUGUACUUUCUUACAAAAGUUUAGGGAUUUGCUGGAUCCCAGUAGAGAUCCUCACAUAUCCAGACAGCCAAAGGAGUUUGUCAAGAAAUGCUUAAGGAGAUGUCCCCAGGGACUGCCUUCUGGCUCAGCCCAGUUCUUUAGCCAAGGGCAGGACCAAGGGAAAUCUGGGAUUUGGGGCAGUAAGUGUGGGAAUCUGCGAAGGGACUGGACAGUGAUUUGUUUCCUUGCUUUUGAUAAAUAAUGGCCCCCUAGUACCCUGAAAACACAUACACGAAUACACACAAACAGGCCAAUGAAGGAGGCACGUGGGACAUUUGUAGGCAAUGGACAUUUCCAUCAGAAAAACCAGAGGAGAUUUUUGAUCAGGAUUACCAGAGUGAGGCUCGAUGGCCAAGAGUGAUUAGGUUAAGGGCCAGAUGGCUUUGAAGUAUACGGAAAUGUUUUUCAAGUUUGACUUUUAUAGCAUUUAAAAGGAGGACGAUUUCUUAGAGUCUUUACAGAACUGCUAAAUUUUGAUCUGUCUAAUUUUAAAGGAAUUCAGCUGUAUGAGAAUUGCUGUUAGCUCAGAUAGGGAAGGAAUCUGGUUUCAAAUGCAGAUACAUGGAACAAAGUUUCUAGGGGUGCUUCUUCCUGAUUUAAAUAUAGCUCCCAGGCAGAAGCCUAGAUAAAUUCAGCCACAAUGAUUUAAAAUCAUAAGUACUUACAGUGGAAGUUCUUUUAGGCACUGUGCAAAGUUCUCCUGCAAAUUAUGCCAUCAACUGUUUAUUCUUCAGAACUAUACAAGAUAAAAAUCAUAAGCAUCACUUAAAACUGAUGCAAUACAGCCUUAAAUCCUUAAACUGCUAGGGAUUGCUUUUGUUUGCCUAAAAGGUAGAUCUUUCAUCACAUGAGUUGUUUAAAAACAUUUAAUUGUGGGGGUGGGAAGGGAUGUGCAUAAUUAUUUAGUUAUUUGUGUUAAUUACAUAGUAGCAUACUCUCUUGAAAUUUUUUCUCUCCCCCUGCCUUUCUUUCUAGUGGUCUUCUCUUCUAACAACCUUGUUCCUGAAGAAUCAACAGUUUUUUGUUUGCUGUUGGUUUAAAAAAAUUCAUUUUGUAGCCUUUUUGAAUGGGUAGUAUUGAUCCAAUUUGACACAGACUUGCAAAUAUAACUCUUAAUACAGGAAAAACGUCAAUUCUUAAUAGGGAAACCUUGUAUUAGUUUUGUUGUUGGGCUUAAACAGUUCUGAUUGAAUGGCAUGUUGUAUACAGAAUUCAAAACUCCUAAACCUCUUUGGUAAAUAACUAGGCAUUUGAAGUCCAAUGGCUAAUUCAAAUUAACUUAGUUCUAGAACAUGUAAGUGCACAUCCUGUUUAGACUGACACGUGGUUUGGUGAAAGAAAAAAUGAAUAUACACUUAGAAAGAUGCUAUCUGUGGAGUAUCUAAAUAGUAAAUAGCAAAACAGUGAAGUUUAUGCUCAGGUAUGUUGGCAUCUUUUUUGUUGUCCUCAGUGGGGGCGAGUUAUGAGUGAUAAGGAUAAUUUAAAUUUCUAAAUUUUUCUUUUCUAGUUAAAGGAAUGAAUUUAAAUGCUUAAGGAUUUUUUUUUUUUUUUUUUCCCUUAACUUACAAAGCAGGUUUAAAAUAUGGUAUCAUGCUUACAGGGAUGUACUGCCUUCUUGAAAAAGCUUUGUUCUUUACCUGAGUGAUAAGUAAUCAUUGAUUUGAGGGUGUGUUCAGAUUAUAUAUAUUAAAAAACUUACAGGACAAAAUUCAUGUUUCCUAAUAUCCUAAAAUACACUGGAUUUCAAAUAACGGACAGUUCUAAUGUUGAACACUGUUAAGAUUUCCAGCAGGUAUAAUUGUUGGAUGUAAUUGAUUGGCAUAACCUGGAUGAUUCACCCAAUAUCCUGUCAACUUCAAUGGCAGAGAAUGCUAUAAUUAGAGUUUUGAGAGUUACCUGAAAACUUAUUUGUCUAGGCCUGAAGUCAAAUGCAUUCCCUCACACACUGGUCACAAUUUUUUAGUCUGAGAAAUGAAGAUUUAUUUUAAAGGCGAAGAAAGUGCUUGGCUGUUUCAAAUAAACUAUAUCCUGAACUUAGAUUUGUAGAUAGUUAAUGAAAUAAAAGUCCGAUUUUGUUCCAAACAUUGUUUUAAAACACCCAUUUGUAAAUUGUCUGCAUUUGGUUUUCAUAUGUUAAUGAUUUGGGAUCUGAAACUUAUUUCAGAAAGGCAUUUUGGUUUAUCUUAAAAAACACCACACAAAACUGUCUAAACAACUCUGUAAAUAAACUGUUCCAAAUGCCUCAAUUUGAUGAAUGAAUUAAAGAAUUAUGGUUCUUAAUCCAAUU
rnacentral:lncRNA from 1 species